AAAAACAAUAGGGCAGUAUUAAAAUAAAUAAAAAACUAUAUAUGUCAGGGAAAUAAUUGCAACAUUAUUAGGUGAACCCGUUCUUUGUGAAUGGUGGCUCAAGGUUUCAGUAAAUGAUGCAACAUUC